rnacentral:tRNA from 2 species
UCCGGACUAGCUCAGCGGUAGAGUAGGUGACUGUUAAUCACUUGGUCGCAGGUUCGAAUCCUGCGUCCGGAGCCA